AGAGUUUCCACUUACUGCACCUGAGAAAAAUGUGCGCUUUCAAUAUCAGAAGGGAAUGAGCUACAGGUGUGUGGAGCAUCCAAUUUAAUUUGCCACUGUUUUGCAGCUCUAACGAGCUCUUCAUCUUCUUCUUAAAGAGUAGGAGGGUGGCUUGACAGCUUGGAUUCUAGCAUGGGAGGUGUGCUUGCUGUUAGAUUUCUGGUUGGAUGUAUAUUAUCAGGAUGAAAUUCUUACUUAUCAGUUAUCACCAUCAGUAUAGGGAUGCUGACUGUACCUUCUAGUGAAGUUAAUUGAUGGAGGAAUUUUGGUACCAGAUGUUACCACAGACCUGCUGUGUUUUUUGCCAUAAACCAGAUGACAGCAGCCAGAGCAUUCCAAUGUUUAUUUCCAAAGUAGAACACGUGUAGCUACUUCACCAGCCUCUUCAUUCCUGUGGUCUGUGUUCAGUCCAUAAUCCCUCAGUUAUUGUGAAUGAAACAGUUUUACUUCACGUCUACAACAAGUAUAAAGGAAACAAAGAGUGGCCAUGAAAUACUGUGUUCUGUGAUCUCAGCUCUGACCAAGUAUCGUAUACAGACCCGAGAUGCCUAAUCACAAGAUUAAUCCUCCAAUGUCUACAAGCUCUUUCAGCUGCAACAUGAACAAGCAGCAAGCUCAGACUCAGAGCUGCUUUGAAUUACAUCAGCAGCAACAACCCUACAUGUUCAUGCUCUGAGAUGUGGAAUUCCUGCAAUGUGAUGGUACAUCUGACCUGGGCAGGGGAGGUGUCACGGUUUUAAGAUGCUUCCUAUUGCUCGAGAGACUGUGUAAAACUGCACUGACAGGUGUUUUAAAAAAAGUCUUAUUUCCAGCUGUUGCAUAUGCACAAUUCACAAAAUAGCUGAGAAAUCGGAAGCAAUCUCAUGAAUUUCUAGUCAGACCUUUCUGACUUGGAGAUGGGACUGAGCAGAGGAAGAUGCCCUAACUUCCAACUGCUCCCCGCUGGUACUGCUGCCCCUGUUGUCUCUCAGUCCAAAGAGCUUCUGAACAAGAGACAUGCUUUUAUGGAGCCUGGCAAAGCUUCAGAAGGGAAAAGGAAAAAUCAAUACCGCUUCAAAGCAAAGUCUUUGCUUCAGUGAAUAUGACAUUUGCCCUGUCUUCACUAGUGGGAAAAACAACAAGGACACUUACGCCAGCAAUGGAAAUAGAAUGAAUGACAACAGAGAGACCUUCCAGGUUUGACUUGUAAAGGGAAAUGACUUUAUAGUCAUUGUCCCUAUUUGGUGACAUCAAAAGCAGGUGUAGGGUGUUAGGUGGUGCAGUCUGAGAAUGAAGGGGAAAGUAACACAAAGUCAAAGAGAAGAGUUGAAGGAAUUCGGAACAAGUAAUAAUGGACUCAGCUGAAAAGAUGGAGAAUAAAAGACAGAAUAAAGGUGAAGUCCAUUGCUGCACAAUCAAAUCAACUACAAAAUGUCACCUGAAAAUGUGGGCCACAAUACUAAAAGGACUUACUAGAAAGUUUUACACCAUUUCAACAGCUUCACAGCUACUGAAAAUGACCAGAGAAUUUCAGUUUGCCAAUGAAUGGCUUCUCACUAAGGCUGAAGCAGGUCAGAAAUUUUUCAAGAGAAGUUUCGAGUGCCAAUUAAAUAAAUGAAUAUUUCUACAAAAUCAAAACAACUUUGAAAACCUCUCAGUGAUGUUUUUUUGGGGGGUUACAAAAAUUUCAAAUAAAUGUAAAACUUACAACUCUGUUUCAAUUCAUUUUCAUAUUCAAAUUUUCAUUAAUUUAAUUUCUGUUUAAUUCUGACUGCUUUUUGUUUCCAGUUCUUUUUGUUUCAAAACUAGAUGCUUGUUCCAAGUCCCUAAUUUCAUUCUGCUUUGACUAUGCCGCUUCUUAGUUAGUUUUCCAAGUUGUUUUGUUUUGAUGUUUCUACUUCUGUGUCAUUUCUUCAAAUGCAACUUUGCAGACUGCCUUCUUUUAGAAUAAAAUGCAUUGUUUCAAUAGGC